rnacentral:lncRNA from 1 species
AAAAAUUACGUUCCAAAUCAUAAUUUACAUUCGCAUUACUUUUUGAAUCUCUAGUAGCUAAAUGUAUCAAGUUUGACCGAACUAGACCAGAGGAAGAACAUGUCCAUAUAUUUUGUUAAAUUAGAUAAGCACACUUGCAAAAUUAAAGGUCAAACCAAACUAUAAUUAAGUAACAAACCGGAACUAUAAGUCUAGCACAAAAACAAAGUAUCCUCAACAGAGGAGAUAAACGUUCAACAAACACAAACUGAGAGAUCUUAAACGAUAGCAUUUGCAGCACUUGCGAUCCUUGGCCACAGGUCAGCACACUCCUUCCCGAUUGGUCCAGUGAUAGCAGAUCCUAUAUAUAUAUAUAUAUAUCACACACACACACAAAAAAAAAACAAAGAGACUUCAUUAAACUAAUGUCACUAGUUAACUUCGUGUUUAUUGUAACACUACUGGAUUCCAUAACCUUCGCAUCAUUGAUUAUAUCUUCCGUCUUCUACUGGUUGAAAUUUUCUGUUGCACACACACAACACCAUGUGCUACAGUUUGAUGAAGGUUCAGAAAGCAGAAUUGAUGAUGCUCUUCUACUAUGGCGGGCUGGGAUAUAACGCUUUGAGUCCUAGUCUCUUUUCAUGUAUAUUUACUAUUAGCUUCUUAUGUACUAUUUCACAACUUUUAAGACAUGAAUUUAGUUUCUAAACUAAUAGGUUAUUGAAUUUCGCUUUUCCUUCAUCUCUUGUUCUUCUAGAGCUUUAACCGUGACCAAACCAUACUCGCAUUUGAAAAUCAUCAAUUUAUCUGGUGUGAGUUUCACAUAAAAGUAAACAAACAGAAGAGCAACGAACACGUUUCUUAGACCCAGUUAGAGCAAAACCCAACUCAGUUUCUUGGGCGCCAAUCAUAUUACAUAUAGAGCUUUAGAAGUUUUUUUAGCCUUUGGACCGAAGGUAGUCGGUAUCUCUUUACUGUAACGUUAUAGAAACCAAGUAAAAUUGAGAUUUCAAAAGAAUCAAAGCUCUAAUUUUCCGGUUGGCAGCUAACUAGUGUUUUACAGGAAAAAUUACGUUCCUAAUCAUAAUUUACAUUCGCAUUACUUUUUGAAUCUCUAGUAGCUAAAUGUAUCAAGUUUGACCGAACUAGACCAGAGGAAGAACAUGUCCAUAUAUUUUGUUAAAUUAGAUAAGCACACUUGCAAAAUUAAAGGUCAAACCAAACUAUAAUUAAGUAACAAACCGGAACUAUAAGUCUAGCACAAAAACAAAGUAUCCUCAACAGAGGAGAUAAACGUUCAACAAACACAAACUGAGAGAUCUUAAACGAUAGCAUUUGCAGCACUUGCGAUCCUUGGCCACAGGUCAGCACACUCCUUCCCGAUUGGUCCAGUGAUAGCAGAUCCUAUAUAUAUAUCACACACACACAC